GUUUAUUCGUGAAACGAAAACGUAGAUGGAAAGACAGUCUGAUCUCGCAGACUCGAUUUUGUUUUUAAGGGGAUUCCAUUAUGACAGAAUCGAAAGUGACAGCUACGCGACAAAGAACACAGUGACCGCUAGAGUUAGGCACGAGAAUAGCAGGUGGCGCUAAUUGAAACGUUCGUGGCGUCUCCUACCGACUGUUAACUAAACUGUGUAAAUGUGGAUUUUACCAUAUAUCAUGAAGACUGUUAAGUAGCAUUGAGCUCUAUUCUAAGGUGCAUUCAGAAAUGUCAUCGCUUACUAGGUCGCUCACUGAACGGGUUUCGAAGUAUCGAAGUUGCGAACGCCGAUUCAAGUACCUAUCUCGUCUGCUGCUGCUGUUCAAUUAGCAGAGGUAAAUAUUUGUUCAUAUUAAACAUUGAUUUUCUACAUGGCAGCAGAAAACUGUGGCGAAUCAUUGAGAAACUAAUCUGAUAUGUUUCUUUUUUUUCGCAACCAUAGAUUUUACCUGAGAAUUAAUUUUCAUUUGGAAGAGGAAACUAUGGGGAGAAGCAGCGUCAUCCCCUCUUCAAACAUCCCGCCGGCGCCGCCUAGUUGCGCGCGCAGCCACGGGCCGCACUCGCUCGCGAACUGACGAAGAGCGCCUGGCCUGGAGGGGAGCAUCAUGCGCCGGCCUGAUAAGACGUAAGGAUGG